rnacentral:piRNA from 1 species
CACUACUGUAGGCCUAUUUACUGGGUUAAC